AGAGUUUGAUCCUGGCUCAGAAUCAACGCUGGCGGCGUGCCUCAGACAUGCAAGUCGAACGCGAAAGUCCCCUUCGGGGGACCAGUAGAGUGGCGCACGGGUGAGUAACACGUAGGUAAUCUACCUUCGGGUGGGGAAUAACAACCGGAAACGGUUGCUAAUACCGCAUAAUACAGCGGCACCUAAUGGUGACAGUUGUUAAAGCGGGGGAUCGCAAGACCUCGCGCCUGAAGAGGAGCCUGCGGCGGAUUAGCUAGUUGGCAGGGUAACGGCCUACCAAGGCGACGAUCCGUAGCCGGCCUGAGAGGGCGGUCGGCCACACUGACACUGACAUACGGGUCAGACUCCUACGGGAGGCAGCAGUCGGGAAUUUUGGGCAAUGGGCGAAAGCCUGACCCAGCAACGCCGCGUGAAGGAUGAAAUCCUUCGGGAUGUAAACUUCGCAAGAACGGGGAGAAUAAGCCGGUGUUAACACCACCGGCGAUGACGGUACCGUUGAGUCCCGCC
rnacentral:rRNA from 1 species